rnacentral:lncRNA from 1 species
GGAGUCUUGGCGGAGAAAGCAAUGGCAACCUACUCCAGUACUCUUGCUUGGAAAAUCCCAUGGACGGAGGAGCCUGGUAGGCUGCAGUCCAUGGGGUUGCUAAGAGUCAGGCACGACUGAGCGACUUCACUUUCAUUUUCACUUUUAUGCAUUGGAGAAGGAAAUGGCAACCCACUCCAGUAUUCUUGCCUGGAGAAUCCCAGGGACAGAGGAGCCUAGUGGGCUGCCGUCUAUGGGGUCGCACAGAGUUGGACACGAUUGAACCGACUUAGCAGCAGCAGCAGCAGGAGUCUUGGAGUUUAAAUGGGAUGCUUCUUUAGAGUGUGAGUGUUAUGUGAAGUGUAAACAGGAGAGGAACAAGGGGUCGGCUUCAAGAAACACAGAGUUGAAGAGGGGAGAUUUCUUCUUGCCAAAGGUGGUCCCAGUAACUACAGCACCUUCACUAAAUGGGCCUGAUUGAGGACCUGCCUGCUCAUCCUUGCAGCCAAGAUGCAGGCCUGGCAGAGCCAGUCUCCUGAUGACUCAUCGUCCCUUCAGAGGUUUCCUGGACCCCUACUCAAGAAAACACUGGGCUGUGCCUCUCAAGUACAGCAAUGAACAGGUGUUCUUUGGCAGGUGUUUCCAUGACCUGAGGGUGUUUCUGAGCUGUGGAGGACUCUCCCUGUCAGCUCACAAGAGACCUGCACAGCUUCCCUGUACUCCCCAACCCUCUGCCGAGGCUGAGAAGUUAUUAGGAGUCCGUGGGCCCCAGUUCUCUUCAACCUUGUCCCAGCAAGAGGCUCCAGACCAGGUGCAUGGGACCACCAGCUUCCGUUCCUGCAAUCCAUUCCCAGGGUCCCUAACCCAGGCAGUGUUCAGUGAAUCCCUGCCAGAAGCAGGCGGAAACGCCUGUUCUAUAUUUUAUUUAGCCACUAAUUGCCUGCAUUUAAAAGGCAUCACAGUGCCACAGUCGUCCUCUGUUUCAUGCCCCGAUGCGUAUUUCUGCAUGAAGGGACACUGGGGCAAGGGAACCAGUGAGCGAGGGGCCACGGUCUCCCCAAUGACAGCUCUAAAAGCCUGA